AGGAAACUGAUGUCCGGGGAAGUUGUGUAACCGUUUGAAGGGCACACAACAGUACAAGGCAGAAGAGGAAUUCAUGGCCAGCGGAACUUCACAGACGUAUGGCAUUUGGGACACACUCUCUAGAGAAAUGUGCCUUUGAAAGACGAACAGAGAAGGAAGAAUCCAAUGGGGCUAGAAAGCUAAAAAUUACAUUGGCUGAUUCCCUGGCAACUAGGAUCCUGGAAGCACUAAAACACCAAAUAAAUACACUCCCACACAAUUUUGAAGAUGAAAAGAGGAAAACUAUUUUUCUGCUAAUGUUUCUGCUAUGAGAGACAGUAGCUGCAGGCAAAUUCAGCAUUCCUGUCGGGACAAUGGCUUUGGGGGGACCAUACAUCAGUCCCAGCAGUGUGAUCAGCCAAUGCACCCUGAUCUCUGAUGCGUCCCAGCUACGUUGGAGACUGGUUAAGCCCAGAUGUGGGUCCCUGCCUCUUGCUCCUCCCCAUCAUCAAAUAAUUUUAUGUCGAAUGAAAGAACUAAAACCCAGUGAGAUGAAAUAACUUACUCAAGGUCACCCAACUUGUAAGCAGCAGAACUCAAGGUCAAAUGCAAAUCUAUUUACAAAGUUUUUGUGCCUAACUACUCUGCUAAACUGUGAUGGUACAGGAUCAAGUACAUAACAAUUUGCACACAGAUAGCUAAAGAUUUAUUUGUGUGUUUUGCUACAAACUACACGAGGGAAGAGUCAGUGUCGUGGACAUCUUUGUAUAAGACACCCAAAUCCCAGAGCAUGGCUCAGCAUUUGGCAUCUGGAAUAGGUCCUAGUGAAGUCACCAGACUGGAGGGAACAGCCUGACAGCCACAAAGUCUUGGUGUUGCCAGAGCACGUGAUAUAGUUAAAGGCGGCAUAUGCCCUGUGUGCUGCUUACAUGCUUCCGGGACGUUCCCCUGGUCAGAGGCUCACUGGCAGAUGAAAGCCUGUGAUGUAACCCAAUGCUGAGCCUGCCCACAGAUUUGCCCUCAAGAGACGAGGAACCCAGCAGCCCACCAGGAACCCAGCAGCCCACCAGGUGCUCCUUGCCAUUUGGAUGCUCUCGUGGAUACUACUCAAACUAUGUGUCUGCCGACUCCCAGCACCAUCACUAGAAAAGGGCUCCAGUGAAGAGUUGUAAAAGGCAUGGUAACAACCUCACCAGUGAACUGCAUCCUACCAGCCUUCCACUGAAUUGCCUUUCUGGCUUGGGAGGACUCAGAUGGUUGAAAAUUGCACAUCUUUUCAGAAACAGACAGGGGAGCGUGCCUGCGUCUGUAGCUCUAAACUUUAAAAGCGGAGUGUCGCUGACCGACCUAUUCUGUGCUCACGGAGAGAUGUCUUGUGACCUGGAUUACAUACUCUGCUGCCUGAUGAAUGGGUGGGGUCAGUCUGAGCCCCCGAAGCACCCACAGAGCCCAGCUCUGUGCCUGGCAUGUGUUAGAAACCCAGUAUUUGCUGAAUAAGACACAGUAACUCAAAGCCAAAGACCUCAGUCAUCAUGCACUGCUUGCUCCACUUCUAGAUUUUUGUGGAAGCCUAGAGUCUCAGUCCUACCACGUGUAAAAUGGGGAUAAUACUACCAGCCCCACUUACGUCACAGCA